GGAAAUGUGCCUGAAUGCCAAAGGAUCACUAUGAUAAAGUGAGCAUGGAGGUGACCAAUCCUCUCAUUUCCU
rnacentral:tRNA from 1 species